UAUAUGGGGAUCGGCCCUUUUUCUUUACUGCAUUUUCUUUUGCCUUUUCUUUUACCCCGUUUAAUGCCAAAACGCCCCCGUUUCGUAUUGCCCCUCCAAUCAGCGUUCGUUAUUAUUUUCUUUUCCAUUUAAUUUCCAAGCAGCUCGACCGUGUCGUGUAUGCUUUUUUUUCGAUUUUUUUUUAUUCUGCUUGCUGAGAAACGACGCCGCUUUGGCACCUCCGCCCUUACCCAUGGCCAACCAUUGUUGACCUCCGCCGUUGAUUAGUCAGCCGCCCGCCGCCGCUCCAUGCACCUAUCUCACGGCACCGCUUUUUUUCUCCAAUAGUAUGCGUCGCCGCCCUCCUCGUCUCUAUCUGCAAUUUGUGGGCUGUCAUAUACUGCUGCUGUAAACGCUGUCCGCUGCGCACUCAAUUCUUUCACGUGUUUUUGCUUUAAUUGUUUUUCCUUCUAAUAAAGCUCUGUGGUGAUCUUUGCUCUCGUCCUCUUCUCCGGCCGUCCAAACUCAUGGGCUUGUUGUGCUGCUAUUUUGGUUUUCAAUUUCACAGCGCAGUACCUAUAUGGGUUUUCUGCAUUUUCUGAACAAGCUUUGAUCUUUUCUCUUGACAUUCAGUCGGUUUCAAGAUUCAACCUUUUUCCGAUUCUUGGAUAACCCUUUGGUUACUGUCACAGUUUCAGAUUUGCAAAUUGCCCCGUAAAAGGGGCUUGAAGACUGUGUUUAUUAGAGGAGGGUCUGCUGGUUCUGUUAAUUCGGGGCGUAGCGCAAAUAUUCAGGGCUCCGGUGGUGGUGGUGGUGUGAUGCACGCGCCGCCUGUUUUCAAGAAUCUGACAAAUCCAAACAUCUCACUUCAUCCCCAUGUAGGGAUUAAUGGAGGAGCUGGAAGUAGCUCGACACUCCGUGUGGAGAACCCGUCGCCAAUUUUUUCUCAUGGAAUUAGUAGCAUGGUGUAGUGCCAAAUGGGUCCCGCUCGGGUGCACAAACAGUUAAGAAGAUGAGGGGUAGGCCUAGGAAAUAUGUACUCGAUAGAGCAGGUAAUAUGUCGUUAGGGCUGACCCCUGUUUGUGCCGCCGCUCCAUCGUCUGAGCGGAUAUUCGGAGGAGAGAGCACGAAAGAGGCGGCUGCCUGGCACAUGGUGGAAACAAAAACUCGCUCCUCUUGCUCCUCCUAAUGUGUUUUUCUCUUUCGAAAUGCGAUUUUUGCCGUCGAAAGCGAAUGGAUGAACGCGUCAGCAGGACUAGCAUUUACACCACAUGUAGUACACGUUAGAGUCGGAGAGGAGAUUGCGGCAAAAAUACUGGCAUUUGCAUGACAGAGACUGCGAUGUUUAUGCAUCAUGUGAGGUAGUGGAUCGGUUUCUUCGGUGACACUACGCCAGCCAACAACUUCUGGUGCCAAUAUCACGCUUGAGGGUCGUUUUGAGAUACUGUGCUUGUCCGGUUUGUACUUGCUCUCGGAAAGUGGCAGGCCCCACAUUCGGACAGUGGCAUCAGCAUCUCUGUGUGUAGUCCUGAUGGCCAUAUGAUUGGAGGUGCAAUAGGUGGUAGUCUUAUCGCAGCAAACCCUGUGCAGGUAUUUGGUCUAUUUACUUUGUUUUUCUGUUUAAAAACGGGUUAGUUUUCUUACGCAUUGUUUGGUUCAUAAGAUAAGAUUAACCAAGAUAAGAAUAUUAAAUAAUGUAAUGAAAAUUCAAUUGUAUUAUUGGACCAAAAAAUAAUAUUUUUGGGUCGACCCACAAAAUUAUUUGGUUUACCGGAACAAAGUCAUGUUAUUUAAUUGGUCAUGACUAAUCUUCCCAACCAGACGAGGUCUUAGAUGUUCUCUCCGGGAACACCCAAGAUGAAAAGCGCCAGUGGGUGGUCUGAAGGAAACCUCUUCGGGCGCUAUAUCCUCUCAUAUUUUGGUUGAUUUUAGGAGCGCUUAACAGAAAAUUGUUGCCUACACUUAUUAAUUCUCUCAUCAGAGAUCAUAAAUAGCUCUUUUCAUACCCCCAUUUGACAUCUUAUAGCACCGGGAGGUUAACCUUAGGAGCGACUUUUCUUUGGUUAUUUGAAUGGUACGACUCAAUUUUCUGCUUCACGGGUUAUUUCUUGUAACUUUUUUGUCCUUUGUUAUUUCUUCAGCACUUCAGUGUCUAGCUUUCUCAUUUGGUGAUAUGGUUUGAUUCUACAAUAUAUGCUCUGAAUUUGCUCUCUUUUUAAGUUAAUUUGAUGGUCUGAUGAUCCCUUGUCUUAUAAGAACCCUCCCUCUCUUCUUGUCUAUUGGAGGAAGUUAUCCUCUUACUUUGACCUGCAAUAUUCCUCUGAAGCAAUAGUUUGUUGCAUUGAUGUUUUUUUAGGAGAAUUUAUUUACUAUUCAUUCCCCGUCGGUUCUGUGAUCGUAAAAAUAAGGACCACAAGUGUACUCGGUACUGAGGCUAUUUAUGUUCUCUUUGGUUUAGAGCUCCCAUUUUCAGAAUCAAGAAUGGUUAUUUUAUAAACAAAUUUUGUCGGGUUGUUUUAACACAUGUUUGCUUUUGUAUCUUUCUGAAAAAAUAAUAAAUAUAUUUACGGGUUUCUGAAUUUUGUAUUAAAUUGAAUAUUUAGUAUUGCCGUGCAUGUAUAUUAGAUGUUUGUUGACGUUGUAAAUCACUAUUGGUAGGUGGUACCAAAUUUACUUAUACACCAACAGACUCCUGUCAUUUCAAGAGCUGAAGAGUACUAGAGAGGGAAUAUAGCUCUUUGCAGCUACAAUUCUUGCCCGUUAACAGAAGAAGCCAUUUCUCCUUACCGAUUUGUUGUGUUGUUGCUAUUGGUCUUCUUGCUAUAGGUUGAUGCAUGCUUCCCAUUUUCCUCCGACAAGCCCCAAGACUCUAAAGAAGAGACUUGCCUCAGUGAAUGAAGAUGCACAUGUAAGAUUAUCAAUCCCUUUUUCCUUGUGUCUUGAUUCUCUACAUUCUACUUGGCGCUCUUCUCAUUGUUUUAUUCGAUUUCUUGUGCAGGUGAACUAUAGGCCUCUCGAUUUAUCCAUAUCGCUUCGCCACAGGGAGCAUCUACGUGCUUAUGGACUCCAAAAAAUAGCAUAUGUGCUGCACUUUACAUCUAAUGAGUUAAUGAAAAGCUAUUUUUUUCGCAAAACUUUCCCGUUUACAUGAUUGAUUAACUUUUCAGGGUGUUUCUUAUCGUGGUUGCUCAAUCUGUGUGGGACUCGACGCUGAGAAGAGUGACAUACCUAGAGAUCCUAUUACACUUUUGCGGACUAAUGUUCUUUUUGUUACUGCAAGAUAGGCGCCUUGCUUCUACCAUGUUAUGUUGCGACUGCUUUGUGUGCUGGAACUACAAUCUUCUGGGAGCAAUGGUGCUCAUGAGCAACGUGACUCUAAAAUGUUGUUUCUUUGGCCUGCUGCUGAUUGCUUGUGCCGCAAAGAAAGAAUAUUUUAGGAAUGAGUUUGUAAAUAUAAAUGAACAACUUCAUGUUCUUCAUCCAGGCACAUUCAUACAGGGUCGUGGUUAUUCCGUUCUGAAAUAAUAGGAAUUCUACGUCUUGCACGAUCCAGCCUCAUUGGUAUUCUUGUUUUCAAUUAUAAAAUAUUAUUUCCAAUCUUAUUUCUGUAAUGAGGAUUUUCAGAUUGCUUUAUUCCGGUGAGGUUUACACCUAAUUUUAUUUUUGACAUGACUGAGUAUGCCUGUGGAGUGUGGACUACAAAUUUCUUACCUAUUGAUUUAGAUGUGUCACAAAUUACAUUAGUUCUCAUUCUCUACUGUGGUUGUAAAGUGCAGUUUGGGAAUGCUUCUGACAGAGCCAUGAAUUUGCUUGAUGAAAAAUUUAAGUUCUUCGCAUGAGCAAAACAGAUAAUCAGUAGGACGGAUGAAGUUCAAAAGGCACUGCUGGCAUGCCUCCAAGAUGCCCCAAAUAAUUCCCUCUUUCAUAAAGAAAACUGCUAUGGAAAGAUGUACCUUCUUAGCACUUGCGAUGAUUCCUUCUUUACCAAACAUUCAAGAAAAUCACAUUUUCCUGAAACAUGGCUCACCGGCAGAGACUGGUUAAGGGCAGGAAGUAGAAGCUAUGAAGGAGCGGAUAUGGUGAGACGGCAGUUGACAGGGGUCGAAACUGGAGGCUUCUUCGUGCUUUUGAUGCGAUGGCAAAGCUUUUCCCCAGGAUCUCAUGGUGGAGAGAUUUGUUGGAAUUUGGAAAUAGUUCAACAACCCUUUUACUGAUUUGUUUUGAUUAAAUUUUCAUUUAGUCUUUGCAUAUGGGGCUUCAGAACUUGCGAGCUCGAGAGAAAAUGUUAUCUUAAUGUUGUUACUGAGGUAUGUUAUCGUAUAACUAACUCUUCUUUUAAAAAAUCACUUGUAUUUUUGCAUGCUAGCUGAGGUAUAUUAUGUGUUUGAAUAGGUUUUUCAGAAUGCCCCUUCUAUGCUUAUUGUUGAGGUUAGAAAAGCAAAGUCAGAUACAUGCUAGACGCCGCUUUGUUCGUUUCUCGCCGCGGCCACCCCUUCCACUGAUACACAUGGUAGGCCACGUUCACCUACUUUUUUUCCACCUAGGCCCCUUCUCGACCACAUCGAAGAUUGGAUUUUUAAAAAAAUAUACAGGUUUUGUGCCUUAUGAUUUCUGGUGCGUCGUCCUUUUUUUUCACUUCUCCAUUUCUCUUCCAAAAAUUAUGCAAAUAUAUGUGAAUCAGCCAUUUUCUUUGCUGCUCCUGUUUUUUUUUUCUUACGGCACGAUCGGUUCCACUAAAGAAAAAGAAUUUUUUUUUUUUUGGGUUUUCUGAGUUCCCUGUUUCCGUCCAAAAUUAGGCGUCGCGCUUCUAGCCAACCAGACUUCAUUCCAUGUUUCGGAAUUCUAUCGAAUGAGGUGGACUCAAUUUUUUUUGUCUUUGUUAUAUUUCAGCCAUUUUUCCUCCUGUCAGCACUAAAAGAUUCUGUUUUUCCAGAUUUUAUGUUUUAUUUUUUAUUUUUUUA